UUUAUUCCCUUUCGAGUCAAUAGAGAGUUAAAUCCACUGAAUUAAAGGAUUUCAGAAAUCCGGGAUUUACAACGAAAAGGGGUACUUUUUUUUCUACACCAACUUUCAUUUACCGUGAGAUUUGGUUUUGCAUUUGAGGCAGUUUGAUUGGAUUUCGCUCAAAUCCGGCCUAAAUCCUGCUACCAAACAGCCCCUUAACUUGGAUGUAAGAUAGUUUUCUUCGUACUAAUUUAUUAUGCUGCAGGUUCCACUUACACUGAGGAGCUUAUUCUGUAUGAGAAAACUGGUUUAUACUGAAUAUAUUCCUUUUUGGAAAUCCUACAAAGCAAUUUAAAAAGGAAAUAGAAGCAGAGAUUGCUGAAUAGUCAGCUAACCUGCCAGUAUUCCAUUGAGCAAUACUUGUCUUGAGUUUAAAAUUGUUGAUCCAGGCAAGUCAUUCCUUUUUCCUUCAAAGACCUUAGCAGCAGAAACUUUUAGUUCUUCUGUGCAUCCAUGUAGACUAAUUCUGGUGGUAUAUGUGGCAGGGAAUACUUGUUUGCUUCUAGUCUGGCCGUAGAAUUCUCCAAUUCUUUGCACAAGAGUUUGAAGAAGUUUGUGUUUGAACCUAACAACAUGUGAACAAAAGAGGAGUUUGUCGGAUCACCGGAGCGGCUACUUCAUGAAUGGAGCUCGUUGAGGGCAUCGUUUGCAUUGGCCAGUGUAGGGCAUCUCCAACCGAAAUCCCCAUUUUCCACUCUAAAAUGACGUAAAACUUCAAAAUACGGUAGUUCAUCUUCAACGGAACUCCAUUUUUCCUUUUCGCACGCUUCUUUGCGAAGGUGAACAGUGAGACGCUAAUAUUUGCGUCAGACUGUUCAUGCAACGAUUCGUGGACGGCAUUUAAUGGUAUGCAGUUCGGUUGAAAAUGAUCUUAAGAAGAAGUGCAUAUACACAACGUUCAUUGAAAUGUUCAAAUCAAGUUUGAACCAACUCGAGAAUUCAAAUCAGUUCGAAUCAAUUU